GCCACAGAUGCAAAUAGUUUUCUAUAUACAAACAAAUAUUGUCCAAAGAUGAAGGUUUAGGUGAAAUGAAACCAUCUAUGUUUUCUCAAUUACUCUACAACUCUGCAUAGAUCGGUCAGGAGAUAUAUGCACUCUUUAAAGAACUUGUUCAUGAACUUGUUUUUAUGACUCAGUCUUGCAAUAACAUUUACAUGAUUCAUGGUUAAGCAUUGCUCAAUAUGCAUACAUGAAGUUUCUUUGAACACAGCAACAAAGAAGGUAAAUCUCUUCGCAAUAAUAGAUUCCUAAAUCAGAAGCAGAAUCAUGUUCUCUAAGGUGACUUAAGACAGAAUAAGCUCACCUUUUUACAGAGGUAAUAUUGUCAACCAUCAACUGUAAGAAUCAAAUGCAAUAUUAUCCAAGGCAAGUCCAUUGUUUCUAUUAUUUAUUUUAUUGUUAUGACUUUAUAGUUAGUAGAUUCAUGUGUGGGGAAGGUUAUGAAAACAUCCAGAGAUUCCAAAUUUUUGACUUAAAAUAUUUGUUGAGAUUAGAUUUUUAGUAAAUUUUAGAAAAGACCAAAUCUGAUUCAAUUAGUUUGGCUUGUUGUGUUAUAAGAACUAUUCUACAAAACCGCUUAUAUGACUACCAAAUCAAUGUGAUACUUAAGCUGCAAAGUCAAAACUACCCUACAGAAAAAUCCAAAAAUGAUAAAGUUCAAUUUAACAUUAGUUAAGUUACCAAGAUUGAGACAGCAUGUAAUGAUUAAAUUGGAAAUAGAGUGCCAUCCUAUAAUUUGCAGCAGUCUGCUCCAUAUUAAAAGAAAGAAAUUUUUCUGCGCAAAGGUACAUAUUUGCAGCCGGAACAUGUUUUGAUUUUGACAAAGCAUGUAAAGUGUAGUUGUACUUUAUGAAAAGAUACAUCAGAUGUGCUCAUAUAAAGAUAUCUUUAUGAUAUAAAGAUAUUGAAAAGUCACUCAUAACUGCAGGGUAAAGAAAUAACAAUUGUGAACCUUACAUUGGGGAAUUAACCUUAGCAUUUAAGGUUGAAGUGACCUUGUACUCAAUCUUUUCCCAAAACUAUGGCCAAAGUCAAAAGUCCAUGCUUUAAUGAGAUCUGUAGCAGGAAAAAGGACAAGUUAAGGAUUGAUGCAGUUACCAAUGUAAAAUACAUCUAACUUAUACAAAAGUACAAAGAUAUGGGAGGCAAAGCAAAAAAGUUCCUAUAUUGCUAUUACAUAUUGAACAAAUCACGGUUUAUUAUUAUUAAGAACAGAAUGUAUAUAUUGUUGAACCAUAAUAAGUUACAUAGAAUAAAGGUUCAGCAUAGUUGAAAAAGGAGGAAAACAAAGUCUACUUCAAACUGCUAAAAUUAAGAUAUCAGUAGGCUCUAUCUUUGCACAUCUUGUGCUAAAAUAGUUUUAAAUAUAAUAUUUUCGUUUGGCCUUUAUACAAUAUAAUAUUUCAGCAUUAACAACUAAAAUUUGGACUUUAAUGCAAUAAGCCAGAUAAUACAGUAUAGAGAACUCCAAUCAUCAUACUGUGGGUAGGAAAAAGGCUUCCAGAGUAAACCAAUACAUCAUAAUAGAUCUUAAUAGGUGCAUAUCACCUUUAAGUGGUGAUAAAAAUCUCUGGUAUGAAAUGGAUAUAUGAAAGCAAAUCAGGAAAAGGUUUUUGAAGACAGUAAAUUUGGUAAAUAUAAUGAAGCAACUGAAUGUCGUCAUUACAAAAGGCCUAACAAUAAGUUUAGGAGUUAAAGUACAACAUAUAACAUGCAUAAUGACACAAAUUAACAUACAAAAUACUUAAUAGUUGGAUAAUCUCCUUACAAAAAGGGUGUCAAAUAACAUUAUGCAUCAAAAUAGAUAUGACAUGAAAUUACUCCUUCUUUAGACCCACCAAAUUACUCCUUCUUUAUAUGCUUAGUCUUCUUGACAGGCUUGGCUUUAGUGGUCGAUUGCUUAGGUGUAAGCUCUUGAGACAACAUGAGAUCAUUAAUAGAGGUUGAUGCAGCAACCCUCUUGGCAGGAGUCGUGCUAGAGCUCGCAGAUGGGCUCCCAGAAUUGUUUGCAGCAACCGACAUGGGAGCAGAUUGUGUUGGUUCAGAAGAUUGUGUUCCCUAGUUAUGCAACAGGGAAAAUAUGAACAUGCUUGGAUAUUAGGAUAAAUCUUUACAAAAAAUUGUAAUAUGUAUUAUAAAUGAAAUGGCAUACAUUAGUUUGGGUUGGGUCCUCAGCAUGACCAGCAGUUUCAAUUUC